rnacentral:rRNA from 1 species
AACGAACGCUGGCGGCAGGCUUAACACAUGCAAGUCGAGCGCCCCGCAAGGGGAGCGGCAGACGGGUGAGUAACGCGUGGGAAAGUACCCUUUGCUACGGAAUAGCUCCGGGAAACUGGAAUUAAUACCGUAUGUGCCCUACGGGGGAAAGAUUUAUCGGCAAAGGAUCGCCCCGCGAUGGAUUAGCUAGUUGGUGGGGUAAUGGCCUACAAAGGCGGCGAUCCCUAGCGGGUCUGAGAGGAUGAUCAGCCACAUUGGGACUGAGACACGGCCCAAACUCCUACGGGAGGCAGCAGUGGGGAAUAUUGGACAAUGGGCGCAAGCCUGAUCCAGCCAUGCCGCGUGAGUGAUGAAGGCCUUAGGGUUGUAAAGCUCUUUCACCGGAGAAGAUAAUGACGGUAUCCGGAGAAGAAGCCCCGGCUAACUUCGUGCCAGCAGCCGCGGUAAAAC